GCAGUCGAGGGGUAACAGGGAGCUUGCUCCGCUGACGACCGGCGCACGGGUGCGCACCGCGUAUGGAACCUACCUUCUACAGGGGAAUAGCCCAGGGAAACUUGGAUUAAUGCCCCGUGGCACUACAUUAUGGCAUCAUGUUGUAGUUAAAGCCUUCGGGCGGUAGAAGAUGGCCAUGCGUCCCAUUAGCUUGAUGGUAAGGUAACGGCUUACCAUGGCUACGAUGGGUAGGGGCCCUGAGAGGGGGAUCCCCCACACUGGUACUGAGACACGGACCAGACUCCUACGGGAGGCAGCAGUGAGGAAUAUUGGACAAUGGAGGGGACUCUGAUCCAGCCAUGCCGCGUGCAGGAAGAAUGCCCUAUGGGUAGUAAACUGCUUUUAUACGGGAAGAAAAAGGGCUACGUGUAGCUUACUGACGGUACCGUAAGAAUAAGGACCGGCUAACUCCGUGCCAGCAGCCGCGGUAAUACGGAGGGUCCGAGCGUUAUCCGGAAUUAUUGGGUUUAAAGGGUCCGUAGGCGGGCAGCUAAGUCAGAGGUGAAAGUUUGCAGCUCAACUGUAAAAUUGCCUUUGAUACUGGUUGUCUUGAGUUAUAGUGAAGUUGCCGGAAUAUGUAGUGUAGCGGUGAAAUGCAUAGAUAUUACAUAGAACACCGAUUGCGAAGGCAGGUGACUAACUAUAUACUGACGCUGAUGGACGAAAGCGUGGGGAGCGAACAGGAUUAGAUACCCUGGUAGUCCACGCCGUAAACGAUGGAUACUAGCUGUCCGGGUCCUUGAGACCUGGGCGGCCAAGCGAAAGUGAU
rnacentral:rRNA from 1 species